GACGAACGCUGGCGGCGUGCCUAAUACAUGCAAGUAGAACGCAGUUGCGAACGGGGGAGUAACGCGUAGGUAACUGCCUGGUAGCGGGGGAUAACUAUUGGAAACGAUAGCUAAUACCGCAUACUAACAGAUGGACCUGCGUUGUAUUAUCUAUUUGGGGAGGUAACGGUGCACCAAGGCAACGAUACAUAGCCGACCUGUGAGGGGGAUCGGCCACCCUGGUACUGAGACACUGCCCAGACGCCUUCGGGAGGCAGCAGUAGGGAAUCUUCGGCAAUGGGGGGAACCCUGACCGAGCAACGCCGCGUGAGUUAAGAAGGUUUUCGGAUCGUAAAGCUCUGUUGUUAAGGAAGCGGUACUUAACCAGAAAGGGACGGCUAACUACGUGCCAGCAGCCGCGGUAAUUC
rnacentral:rRNA from 1 species